CGGCCUGGCCUAGUGGGUAGUGACCCUGCCUAUGAAGCCGAUGGUCCCGGGUUCGAAUCCUGGUAAGGGCAUUUAUUUGUAUGAUGAUACAGAUAUUUGUUCCCGAGUCAUGGGUGUUUUCUAUGUAUUUAAGUAUUUAUAUAUUAUAUAUAUCGUUGUCUCAUGCCCACAACACAAGCCUUAUUGAGCUUACUGUGGGACUAGGUCGAUCUGUGUAAAAUUGUCCUAUAAUAUUUAUUUAUUUAUU